rnacentral:rRNA from 1 species
GCACAGAGAGCUUGCUCUCGGGUGACGAGUGGCGGACGGGUGAGUAAUGUCUGGGAAACUGCCUGAUGGAGGGGGAUAACUACUGGAAACGGUAGCUAAUACCGCAUAACGUCGCAAGACCAAAGAGGGGGACCUUCGGGCCUCUUGCCAUCAGAUGUGCCCAGAUGGGAUUAGCUAGUAGGUGGGGUAACGGCUCACCUAGGCGACGAUCCCUAGCUGGUCUGAGAGGAUGACCAGCCACACUGGAACUGAGACACGGUCCAGACUCCUACGGGAGGCAGCAGUGGGGAAUAUUGCACAAUGGGCGCAAGCCUGAUGCAGCCAUGCCGCGUGUAUGAAGAAGGCCUUCGGGUUGUAAAGUACUUUCAGCGGGGAGGAAGGUGUUGUGGUUAAUAACCGCAGCAAUUGACGUUACCCGCAGAAGAAGCACCGGCUAACUCCGUGCCAGCAGCCGCGGUAAUACGGAGGGUGCAAGCGUUAAUCGGAAUUACUGGGCGUAAAGCGCACGCAGGCGGUCUGUCAAGUCGGAUGUGAAAUCCCCGGGCUCAACCUGGGAACUGCAUUCGAAACUGGCAGGCUAGAGUCUUGUAGAGGGGGGUAGAAUUCCAGGUGUAGCGGUGAAAUGCGUAGAGAUCUGGAGGAAUACCGGUGGCGAAGGCGGCCCCCUGGACAAAGACUGACGCUCAGGUGCGAAAGCGUGGGGGAGCAACAGGAUUAGAUACCCUGG